rnacentral:rRNA from 1 species
UACGGAGUGUGCAAGCGUUACUCGGAAUCACUGGGCAUAAAGGGCGCGUAGGCGGCUCAUGAAGGCUGUGGUGAAAGUCCGGGGCUCAACCUCGGAUCGGCCGUGGCGACUCGUGGGCUGGAGCACUGUAGAGGCGGGUGGAAUUCCGGGUGUAGCGGUGGAAUGCGUAGAGAUCCGGAAGAACACCAGUGGCGAAGGCGGCCCGCUGGGCAGUGGCUGACGCUGAAGCGCGACAGCGUGGGGAGCAAACAGG